GUGGCUUAUUCCCCGCCACCUUACCUUCCGUGUCCGUGUUGGUGAUCCCUCGUCCCUCUCUAUGUUCCUAUCUCUGGUCGUCUGCUGGCAGCGCUCCGUUAGUGUUCCGGCUGUGUGCUGGAUGGAGUGUCUGUUGGCAGCGGCUGGAGUAGGGACGUUAAUAGAGAGUGGACGCAGUAUCAGUGCGGU